rnacentral:rRNA from 1 species
UGCCAGACUCCUACGGGAGGCAGCAGUGAGGAAUAUUGGUCAAUGGGCGGGAGCCUGAACCAGCCAAGUCGCGUGAGGGAAGACGGUCCUACGGAUUGUAAACCUCUUUUGCCGGGGAGCAACGGGGUCCUUGCGAGGGCCCAAUGAGAGUACCCGGAGAAAAAGCAUCGGCUAACUCCGUGCCAGCAGCCGCGGUAAUACGGAGGAUGCGAGCGUUAUCCGGAUUUAUUGGGUUUAAAGGGUGCGUAGGCGGAAGGUUAAGUCAGCGGUCAAAUGUCGGUGCUCAACACCGGCCUGCCGUUGAAACUGGUCUUCUUGAGUGAGCGAGAAGUAUGCGGAAUGCGUGGUGUAGCGGUGAAAUGCAUAGAUAUCACGCAGAACUCCGAUUGCGAAGGCAGCAUGCCGGCUCCACACUGACGCUGAGGCACGAAAGCGUGGGUAUCGAACAGGAUUAGAUACCCUCGUA